CGUAGAGUUUGAUCCUGGCUCAGGAUGAACGGCUGGCGGCGUGCCUAACACAUGCAAGUCAACGGGGGCAGAUUGAAACCUAGUGAUAUCUGCCCGAGUGGCGGACGGGUGAGUAACGCGUGGACAACCUGCCGUAUGCAGGGGAUACCAGCUGGAACAGCUGCUAAUACCGCAUAUGCGCACAGGGCCGCAUGGGCCUGGUGCGGAAAGGAGCAAUCCGGCAUACGAUGGGUCCGCGUCCGAUUAGCUAGUUGCGGGGCAGCGGCCCACCAAGGCGACGAUCCGGUAGCCGGCCUGAGAGGGCGGACGGCCACAUUGGGACUGAGACACGGCCCAGACUCCUAUGGGAGGCAGCAGUGGGGGAUAUUGCACAAUGGGGGGAACCCUGAUGCAGCGACGCCGCGUGGGUGAAGAGGUAUUUCGGUAUGUAAAGCCCUAUCGGCAGGGAAGAAAUUGGACGGUACCUGACUAAGAAGCCCCGGCUAACUACGUG
rnacentral:rRNA from 1 species